rnacentral:rRNA from 1 species
GAUGAACGCUGACAGAAUGCUUAACACAUGCAAGUCAACUUGGUGGUGGACGGGUGAGUAACGCGUAAAGAACUUGCCUCACAGGUAGGGACAACAUUUGGAACCGAAUGCUAAUACCUAAUACUGUGAGAGAGCUUUGCGUCCCAUUAGCUAGUUGGAGAGGUAACGGCUCACCAAGGCGAUGAUGGGUAGCCGGCCUGAGAGGGUGAUCGGCCAGAAGGGGAAUGAGACACGGCCCUGAAUCGUACGGGAGGGAGCAGUGAGGAAUAGUGGGAAAUGGGAGCAGCCUGAACCAGCCAAGUAGCGGGCAGGAUGACGGCCUAUGGGUUGUAAAAUGCUUUUGUAUGGGGGAAGGUACCAUACGAAUAAGGACCGGCUAAUUCCGUGCCAGCAGCCGCGGUAAUAC